CAAAAUUUUCAUGCUAUUUUAAAAAGAGAAUGAUCAUGGUUUAGAAGAAAACAAUUAUUUAGUAACUCAAUUAAAUUUGCUUUGUUUGGAGAUGAAACUAGAAACUUUUUAUUUAGUAACCAAGCUAAAACUCUUGAGUUAGAAUGUUAUUGCAUAGUGUUUUACAGUAGGCUUGGAGUUAUCCAAUGUUACAACAAUGAAUAAAGUUCCUUUGGGAUAUUGAAUAUUGAGAUAUUCUCAUGAGUUUUGACACAAUUUACAAAGUUAUUUUGACAUUAUAAAUUUUGGUGCUAGCCUUUUGACAAUCUAGUAAUAAGUGUUGGAAUUUGUUUUUUGUUAUAAUAGGUGGAAAAAAAAAUUUAUGCAAAGGACAAGCAUGAUUUGUCUAGUUUUGGUUGGAGAAAGGCAAGCUCCAUGAGUAUCUUGUGUGCACACAUUAUUUUGAUGUUGACGAGGGGAAAGAAGACAAUCAAGUAUCACAUGACUCAUUGAAGGGAGAUAAGCCAGCUCAAUUUGAAUCCUCGAUUAGAAAGGUAAGAUGGGCAUGCCACUGCAGUCAAGGUUGCAACACUAUAGGUUAGGCUUGAAUCAUUAUUGCUGUCUAGAGCUACUUUAUAUUGUUUUUCCAAACAUAUUGUAAUACUGUUUUGAUUUAUCUUCCUCUUUGCCAAGAAUAUUGUAAUGCUGUUUUGAUAUGCAUAUCAGAAUAUGUUUUAAUUUGUAUUUUGGAUGGAUUAGUAUUAAUUAUUAUGAUGUUUUGUAUUUUGGAUUACAAUGUGGUUGUACUUUAAUGACAUUAUUACUAUA